rnacentral:rRNA from 1 species
GGAAUCACUGGGCGUAAAGGACGCGUAGGCGGAUUAUCAAGUCUCUUGUGAAAUCUAACGGCUUAACCGUUAAACUGCUUGGGAAACUGAUAGUCUAGAGUAAGGGAGAGGCAGAUGGAAUUCUUGGUGUAGGGGUAAAAUCCGUAGAGAUCAAGAAGAAUACCCAUUGCGAAAGCGAUCUGCUGGAACUUAACUGACGCUAAUGCGUGAAAGCGUGGGGAGCAAACAGGAUUAGAUACCCUGGUAGUCCACGCCCUAAACGAUGUAUACUAGUUGUUGCUUCGCUAGUCGAGGCAGUAAUGCACCUAACGGAUUAAGUAUACCGCCUGGGGAGUACGGUCGCAAGAUUAAAACUCAAAGGAAUAGACGGGGACCCGCACAAGCGGUGGAGCAUGUGGUUUAAUUCGAAGAUACGCGAAGAACCUUACCCGGACU